CUGUCCAGUGCUCUGAAUGUCAAGUGAAGAAAUUCAAUGAAUCACAGGUAAGCAGUGGGAGUAACUAUGACUCUCUUAAGGUAGCCAAAUACCUUGUCAUCUAAUUAGUGACAUGCAUGAAUG
rnacentral:ncRNA from 1 species